rnacentral:rRNA from 1 species
AGCGAACGCUGGCGGUAGGCCUAACACAUGCAAGUCGAACGAGUGGCGGACGGGUGUGGAAUACAUCGGAAUCUACUUUUUCGUGCGGGAAAACGUAGGGAACCUUACGCUAAUACCGCAUACGAUUGUCUGAGCCGAUGUCGGAUUAGCUAGUUGGGGGGGUAAAGGCCAACCAAGGCGACGAUCGUAAGCAGGUCUGAGAGGAUGAUCAGCCACAUGGGAACUGAGAGACGGUCAAGACUCCCACGGGAGGCAGCAGUAGGGAAUAGUGAACAAUUGGCGCAAGAAUGAUCCAGCCAGACCGCGUGGGUGAAGAAGGCCUUCGGGUUGUAAAGCCGUUUUGUUGGGAAAGCGGUAGCCAAAGAAUAAGCACCGGCUAACUUCGUGCCAGCAACCGCGGUAAUAC